CUCACAUUGUCACCCAGAUCUUUCUUAAAACUUAAAAUAUUUGGUUGAAGCUAGUGUUGAACUGGUCUGGUUUUUCAGAUUCCUGCUGAUACAGCGAAAGCUGGAUGCUUCGAUCACGUACUAUCUGUCUGCUAUGAUCGGGAUCACAAGAUUCACGAUCUUUCUGCUAUAGUGACUUUUCAGAACUCACUAAACGUCAGACCGGCCAACUAAGAACAUGGCGGUCCAACUCACAUGUAUAGAUUACUGGAAUAUGUGCUUGCAUCGUUGAAGAGAGAGUACGCUUUCGUUUUUGUUUUCCAUGUGAUUUCACUUCGGUAAGACUAAUUCUUCUCUUCAUUAGAAGCUAAAUUAAACUUAAUUAUAACCAAAGGUAAGAAACCCCAACUAGCCCAACGGAUAUAUAUUUAUGUCUUUGUGAUUUUUUUUUUUUUUCCCGUUACAAAGAUAUGUCUUUGUGUUUAACUUAUCAUGGGUGAAGAGCGACCCUAGGGUGUGAGCACAGAGAACGGCGGCGACAGAUCUGAUCCUCUUCGUCGUGUCUAGCAAAGGAGGGAUCUCUCGGCGUCGAGCGUGGUCCUAGGGUGAAGCAAGGGAAGCAGACUUGAGGCUUGGAACAGGUGCUUUCGAGGUUGUCGUUUGCACAACAGAGGAGGACGGCGUGAUCUUCUGCGGCGACGUUUGGAAUAGGUCAGUUUUGUUAGCGGCGGCGGCUGAAAAGGAGGAUUCUGCUGUGCAGCAGCAGUUGGGAGGUGGCGCUGAUGCCACGCUGGAAGGGCCAUUCGCCAAAAACUGUGGCGGCGGCGGUGAUGAUUGGCAAAGGCAGAAUAGCUUCUACUAUUGCUUUCUUUGGUUGCCGUGGGCCUGGGCCUGAGAUUGGGCUCUUGGGCUUGGUUAUAGUUAUCUAGUUUUGUUACUAUUUGUUAGAAUAAAUGUCUAUGUUAGUGAGAGCAUCUCCAUGAGCCCGUAUGGAAGUACUUAGUGCCAUUGUACCACAAUUGUGUUCUCGGCGUGUGAGAUUAGGUAAAAUAGAUUGCCUGCAGGGCGAGAUUCUUUUGUUAACAUAGACUACUCUGAGCUACGAUUGUUGAAACAGAGUAGUCGAUUUUGUACUAUUCUUAUCUAUGAAACAGCUGCAUACAACUGGUCUGUA